UUUCCCAUGGAAUUUCUCUCCACUGAGUUAUGGAGAGUUUCCAUGGAGACCAACAAAGAGGCAAGUGACAGCUGCAUCACUUACAAAACAUAAACAACAUUGAACUACAUUUGGGAUUGAGGAUGCGGUUCCUGAAAAGGCGUCCACAAUAAAAUUUGCUGUUUAUUGAGAUAUACUCUCAAUAAAUAGCAAAAAACAAAGAUUCCGGAUGACUGGGAAAUGGAAAGGAAUUCGGACGAGGACAAGGAACGAGAGGUACAAGGGAUGCUGAGAUGGGUAUGGGAGGCAGUUCACCAGGCAUCCGGAACAUUCCUUUUCUUUCAAGUUUUUUAAAUCUCUUUUAAUUUCAAAUUUGUCUUCUUUAGUUUUUUUUUCAGUUUUCAAUUUUAAGUUCAAUUUCGAUUUUUAUUUUUUUUUUAAUUUCCUUUAAUGUCAAUUUUUAAAUUCUCUUAAAUUAAAAUUGUUUGUUCUUUAGUUUUUUUUCUUUCAAUUUUCAAAUUUUAUUUAAUUUCCAUAAUUUAAUUCGGGCCGCCGGGAAUCAAGCUAUUAAAAAAAUACCACUGAGUAAAUCCCUAUACUUCGAUAAUUUAACAGACUCACCACCUGUUCUUGUUAUUUGCUUGGUUUUAUCCCGAAUAGUUGGCACCAAUUGAAAUUCCACUUAGUUUUCACUUACUUAAACACCUUUUUUUUCCUAUAAGGAAUUAAUUCUUAUAUUUGUGUUUAAAACCAAUUAAUUAAAAAACUAACUUUAUCAGAAAUAUAAGUUUGCUGGUCCAACUG